rnacentral:rRNA from 1 species
GAUGAACGCUAGCGACAGGCCUAACACAUGCAAGUCGAGGGGCAGCACAAGGAGCAAUCUGAGGUGGCGACCGGCGCACGGGUGAGUAACACGUAUGCAACCUACCUGUAAGAGGGGGAUAACCCGUUGAAAGACGGACUAAUACCGCAUAAUACUGAAUAACCGCAUGGUUAAUCAGUUAAACAUUUAUGGCUUACAGAUGGGCAUGCGCAUGAUUAGCUAGUUGGUGAGGUAACGGCUCACCAAGGCAACGAUCAUUAGGGGUUCUGAGAGGAAGGUCCCCCACACUGGUACUGAGACACGGACCAGACUCCUACGGGAGGCAGCAGUGAGGAAUAUUGGUCAAUGGGCGAGAGCCUGAACCAGCCAAGUCGCGUGAAGGAUGAAGGUUUUAUGAAUUGUAAACUUCUUUUGCAGGGGAAUAAAGUGCGGUACGUGUACCGUUUUGUAUGUACUCUGCGAAUAAGGAUCGGCUAACUCCGUG